CCAACAACUCCACCACCAACAACUCCACCACCACCUCCAACAACUCCACCUCCAACAACAACUCCACCACCACCACCUCCAACAACUCCACCACCACCACCAACAACUCCAAUGCCCCAAGUUUCAAUCAGUGAGAUCAGGUCAGUCCUGACUCCAACCCAGACUCUACUCUCCAUACCUAACAGGUCAGUCCUGACUCCAACCCAGACUCUCCUCUAGUCCAUACCAAACAGGUCAGUCCUGACUCCAACCCAGACUCUCCAUACCUAACAGGUCAGUCCUGACUCCAACCCAGACUCUCCUCUCUAGACCGAACAGGUCAAGCCUGCCUCCAACCCAGACUCUCCUCUCCAUACCUAACAGAUCAGUCCUGACUCCAACCCAGACUCUCCUCUCCAUACCUAACAGAUCAGUCCUGACUCCAACCCAGACUCUCCUCUCCAUACCAAACAGGUCAGUCCUGACUCCAACCCAGACUCUCCAUACCUAACAGGUCAGUCCUGACUCCAACCCAGACUCUCCUCUCCAUACCUAACAGGUCAGUCCUGACUCCAACCCAGACUCUCCAUACCUAACAGGUCAGUCCUGCCUCCAACCCAGACUCUACUCUCCAUACCCAACAGGUCAGUCCUGACUCCAACCCAGACUCUCCUCUCCAUACCUAACAGGUCAGUCCUGACUCCAACCCAGACUCUCCAUACCUAACAGGUCAGUCCUGCCUCCAACCCAGACUCUACUCUCCAUACCCAACAGGUCAGUCCUGACUCCAACCCAGACUCUACUCUCCAUACCUAACAGAUCAGUCCUGACUCCAACCCAGACUCUCCUCUCCAUACCCAACAGGUCAGUCCUGACUCCAACCCAGACUCUCCUCUCCAUACCUAACAGGUCAGUCCUGACUCCAACCCAGACUCUCCAUACCUAACAGGUCAGUCCUGACUCCAACCCAGACUCUCCUCUCCAUACCAAACAGGUCAGUCCUGACUCCAACCCAGACUCUCCAUACCUAACAGGUCAGUCCUGACUCCAACCCAGACUCUCCAUACCUAACAGGUCAGUCCUGACUCCAACCCAGACUCUCCUCUCCAUACCAAACAGGUCAGUCCUGACUCCAACCCAGACUCUCCUCUAGUCCAUACCUAACAGGAGUGUGACCAAGGGCCUGUGUUCGUACUGCUGUCAACCGAUGGUG